GGUGUAGGAUCUUACCUUAUCGAAGACACCGGCUUCGUCAUAAGCUACCCACACAGAAUUGCUUGAUUCACUUGCGAAAGGCGAUUGGGUUUAGACCCGAGAGUAACGAUUGGGUCUGUAGCUCAGUUGGUUAGAGCGCACCCCUGAUAAGGGUGAGGUCCGGCAUUUCAAAUCUGCCCAGACCCACCAAUCGAAGGGGCCAUAGCUCAGCUGGGAGAGCGCCUGCUUUGCACGCAGGAGGUCAGCGGUUCGAUCCCGCUUGGCUCCACCAUUAACUCUAGUCGCCGAAAGCUCAGAAAUGAGUGUUUGCCAGGACGAUGAUUGAUCGCCUGGGAUGAACAUUGAUUUCUGGACUUUGCGCCAGAACUGUUCUUUAAAAAUUUGGGUAUGUGAUAGAAGUAGACCGAUGUGUUGCUUUCACUGGCAGCAUGUCGCGUCAAGGUAAAAUUUGCGUGUUCUCUAUGCAAAU
rnacentral:tRNA from 1 species